UACGAAGGUGGCAAGCGUUGUUCGGAUUUACUGGGCGUACAGGGAGCGUAGGCGGUUGGGUAAGCCCUCCGUGAAAUCUCCGGGCCUAACCCGGAAAGUGCGGAGGGGACUGCUCGGCUAGAGGAUGGGAGAGGAGCGCGGAAUUCCCGGGGUAGCGGUGAAAUGCGUAGAGAUCGGGAGGAAGGCCGGUGGCGAAGGCGGCGCUCUGGAACAUUUCUGACGCUGAGGCUCGAAAGCGUGGGGAGCAAACAGG
rnacentral:rRNA from 1 species